rnacentral:misc_RNA from 1 species
ACUCUAUCAGUGUAGCUCUUAAACCCUAGGAAUUUUUUUACAUCUCUCCACGCCGAUUCUAUCUUUCUCUCCUCUCCACUCCACAUCAAUGGAAGAUGUAUGUGAAGGCAAAGAUUUCUCUUUCCCAAAUCAAGAAGAAAAAAUCCUUCAAUGGUGGGAAGAAGUCAAAGCAUUCGAAAACCAGCUCGAAAAGACAAAAAAUCAACCCGAAUACAUUUUCUACGAUGGUCCUCCAUUUGCAACAGGUUUACCUCAUUACGGCCACAUAUUAGCAGGUACAAUCAAAGAUAUUGUGACCAGGUAUCAAUCAAUGACGGGUCAUCAUGUGACCCGAAGAUUUGGGUGGGAUUGUCAUGGAUUACCAGUUGAACAUGAAAUUGAUGAGAAACUUCAGAUUAAGACUAAACAACAAGUGAUUGAAAUGGGGAUUGAUAAGUAUAAUG